UCCCGGUUGGCCCGGGCGGUCUCGUGUGAAAAAUACAACACACGACAAGGGUUGCGCUCGUUGCGGGACUUAACCCAACAUCUCACGACACGAGCUGACGACGGCCAUGCAGCACCUGUCACCUAUCCAGCCGAACUGACUGCCUAGUCUCUUAGGCAUACGAUAGGGAUGUCAAGCCUCGGAUAAGGUUCUUCGCGUAGCAUCGAAUUAAACCACAUGAUCCACUGCUUGUGCGGAGCCCCGUCAAUUCCUUUGAGUUUUAAUCUUGCGAUCGUACUCCCCAGGCGGCAUAUUUAACGCGUUAGCUCCGGCACGAACGAAAUGAAUCGCUCACACCAAGUAUGCAUCGUUUAGGGCGUGGACUAC
rnacentral:misc_RNA from 1 species